CCUUCAAAUAGCUCUCCCAACAUCUCCUCCAAAACUUCCGGACUGCUGCUUUCGCGGCCAACAUGUUUCUCUAGCCUGGGAUGUUCCUUCAGGUACUUGCCGUAACCUGAAAUAACUCUCUUGGUGAUAGCUUUCCGCAGCACAUCUCGUAGCCGAGAGUCUGGAACCUUCCAUAACUUUCGAGCCUGGUAGGUUUGAUGAAACGCUGACUCGAAUUUAGCUAGUGAAGAGGUGUUAAUCCAGCGAUAGAGCGGUUCAGGAAACUUUGAUUUCGAUAUGCAUGACAGCACAUGCCCCCAAGAAGCAUCAAGAUAACUAUCCAUAUGCUUUCUUACAUUCAGGUGUAAGUUUAAGUCUCUGGUGGUGUCGCCAUAGCUCAGAGACCUGCUCUGUGAAAUAGGAAUUGUUGAGCAGAAACAUGUACCUUAGGCUUGGAUUUGUGCACAACUUCGAUUUUGCCAAAAAAAGACGCUUCAGGUAAUCAGUUGGGUUAUGUAUCAGGUUACAAAUUAGAUUUCUGGUGUGGUGGCUCUCUACAGAGUUCUUCUGCGUCGAAGCAUGUGCUUUCCUCAUCAACAUUCAAGCAGUUAGAAUUGGUAUGUCUCUGGCUAUCCAAUCCUAGUGCAAUCUGACUUGAUGGGGGCCCUUUCUACUUUGACGGAUGCCUCUCUCGAGAAGUCGCCUUUUGCUCAUUUGGCCAAGUAAGUCAAGAAAUACAUGCUUGAUAGGAAGUUUAAAUCCAUGAAGAUCUUGAGGUCACAGAACAUGGUUUCACAUUGUCUUGCUAAUUAUGAUAGAACGGCACGCAGCACCGCUUGUUGGUUGCAAAGGCCUCCCCCAUUCAUUCAUACUCUUGUAUUGACAGAUUGUAAUCCUGUCACUAUGGAAUAAAACUCCUUUUUCCCCGGAAAAAAAAGACACUAUGCACUCCGCCACCAACUGAAUGUUCUUGUGAAUCUUGCUUUCUCCUUGCAGAAUCUCGAUAGCCGACUAGGACAGGAUUACAAGGUGGAGCAGGAGAUGGAGUCGGCGGCCGUAGAGGAGUCCUUCCCUUCAAGGAGGCGGCCGGCCCUCCUCCGGAAGGAGCUGACCCGCUGGCUCCUGCGGAGGACGACGGCUGGGUCGUGAGGCUCGAGUAAUCCUUCAACAUUCUUUCCCACGGUGAGUAACUGAUACAGGCAGCUGACUCCAGAUUCCCCACAUAGAUUUUACUAGCUUUGAAUUUAGUUGCAGCCUGUCCGAAGUUCUGAACAUGUGUCUGUUUUACGUCUUGUUGUGCGCCCAUAGAAUUCUGUUGUCAUGGUGUCUGGUGCUCUGUACCGUGACCGCGACUAUGGCAGGUUCUUCGUGCCCGAGACGAUCACGAGGGUGCCGUAUUACGGUGAGGCUUUCAACUUACAUGACUGCAAUAGUACAUAGGUCACUGAAAUUUGGCGAUAUCUUGUAUUCCAUCUUAGAAUAGCAUACCAAAUGUUGGUGAUAUAUUGUAUCCCAUCUUCGUUUCAUUUUCUUCUC
rnacentral:rRNA from 1 species